UGCAAGUCGAACGGCAGCACGGGAGCAAUCCUGGUGGCGAGUGGCGAACGGGUGAGUAAUAUAUCGGAACGUGCCCAGUCGUGGGGGAUAACGCAGCGAAAGCUGUGCUAAUACCGCAUACGAUCUCUGGAUGAAAGCGGGGGACUCGUAAGAGCCUCGCGCGAUUGGAGCGGCCGAUAUCAGAUUAGCUAGUUGGUGGGGUAAAGGCCCACCAAGGCGACGAUCUGUAGCUGGUCUGAGAGGACGACCAGCCACACUGGAACUGAGACACGGUCCAGACUCCUACGGGAGGCAGCAGUGGGGAAUUUUGGACAAUGGGCGCAAGCCUGAUCCAGCAAUGCCGCGUGCAGGAUGAAGGCCUUCGGGUUGUAAACUGCUUUUGUACGGAACGAAAAGGUCUGCCUUAAUACGGUGGGCCCAUGACGGUACCGUAAGAAUAAGCACCGGCUAACUACGUGCCAGCAGCCGCGGUAAUACGUAGGGUGCGAGCGUUAAUCGGAAUUACUGGGCGUAAAGCGUGCGCAGGCGGUUAUAUAAGACAGAUGUGAAAUCCCCGGGCUCAACCUGGGACCUGCAUUUGUGACUGUAUAGCUAGAGUACG
rnacentral:rRNA from 1 species